UACGUAGGCAGCAAGCGUUGUUCGGAGUUACUGGGCGUAAAGGGUGCGUAGGCGGCUAUUUAAGUUUGGUGUGAAAUCUCCCGGCUCAACCGGGAGGGUGCGCCGAAUACUGAGUGGCUAGAGUGCGGGAGAGGAAAGUGGAAUUCCUGGUGUAGCGGUGAAAUGCGUAGAUAUCAGUCGGAACACCCAUGGCGAAGGCAGCUAUCUGGGCUAACAUUGACGCUGAGGUGCGAAAGCGUGGGGAGCGAACGGG
rnacentral:rRNA from 1 species